GGGAGAGCGGGCAGUUCUAGGAGGCCGACCUGGAGAGCCUCCCGGUUCCCCUUCCCCUUUUCCCGGACCCCGCGGGGACACCCCCUCGCCGCCACCCGGGCCUCCCCGAGGGCCCAACUGCGGGUCAGGCGGCCCGGGCCAGCCGAAAGGGAAGUGGGGCUACCCCACAGCCAGGCAGCGGGGCUGGGGUCAGACCCGGGAGCCGGAGGUUGGAGACGUGCGACAGUCACCUGCGGGCAGAUUCCAGAGGGGAGACCCAGGGCUGCAGGGGACGCCCCUUCGUGGCAGCUACCCAGCCUCGGCCCACUGCCAGGUUCUUUGCCAACCCUGACGCGAGUGUGGAGCCCCCCUCCCCUCCCCUAUGAAAACGCUUUCAUGCACUGGGGUCUGCAAACCUGGUUGGUCCGGUGUGGGUUGGGCCAGGUGCUCUCGGCCGGGCUGGAGAGCUCGAGGUGGAACGAUGGCCCCAACCUACGGCCCGCGUCCGCCAGAGGGCGCCCUGGGGUCUCCUAGGGGAGGGCAGUUUGGUGCUGCGCGGCCCAGGCCUUGGAAUAGGCACGCCAGGGAUCUGCGGGAAUGGCUGUCUCCGGAGCUGGAAAGGUGGCCGAGAAGGGGGCAUUCACACCCCAGGCUGGGGUCAGACCUGGGAAUAAAAUUCUAGCAGGAGAGAAUUUCCGGAAAGCAGUUUUCCGGGGUUCAGGCUACUGCCAGAUGGCCCACACCCCCUGGAAUGUGACCCCCUGCCUCUCUUGGGGUGGGGGAGGACUUGAUCACUGGCGGGGAGGGGGUAGAGGGGAGGAGAGGAAGUGAUUGAGGUGAAAGAUUGGUUUGCUGCUGGUCACGUUGGCACUGACGUAGAUAGUUUGGGCUUGGAGACCCGGGGCCAGCCUUAUGAAGGAUGGCAAGUUUUGUCAUCUUGUCCCCAAAUGGGCUGUGUGGUGCUGGGGACACCCGAGAGCUGCCUCAGUGGCAUUUAGAUUUUCACCUCUCGGGAUGCAGACGCUGUGGGCCUGGGGCCCUGCGCUCUUCCUAGAUACCAGGAUAAUGAGGUGCUGAAAGGGAAGGAAGAGACUGCCGCCAGGGACAGGGAGCUUGGGAUGCCAGAACCCAGAACUGGCCCUUUUGCCGGCCCUGGAAUUGAUAGGUGCGCACUGCCUUUGCCACUGUAUCCUCAGUCCGUGCCAUCACCUCUCCCCAGCAUGUGCUGGGGACUCAGUGAGAUUUGGACAAGACACACAGUUUCUCUGGGCUUCCGUUUUGCCACCUGUAAAACUGGAGCCAGAACCUUUUCCUUCCCUUUGGCAGGCGGAGGCGAGAGGAUCACUUGAGCAUGGACAUUCAAGACCAGCCUGGGCAGCAAAGUGAGCACCCCCAUCUCUGCAAAAAAUAGAAAAAAGUUAGCCAGGAGUGGUGGCCUGUGCCUGUAGUCCCAGCUGCUUGGGAGGCCAAGGUGGAAGGAUCGCUUGAGUCAGGGAGGUCAAGGCUGCGGUGAGCCAUGAUCGUGCCACUGCACUUUAGUCUGGGCAACAGAGUGAGACCCUGUUAAAAAAAAUAAUAAUAAAAUGAAAUAAAAAGGGCCGGGCAUGGUGGCUCAUGCCUGUAAUCCCAGCACUUUGGGAGGCUGAGGCGGGUGGAUCACGAGGUCAGGAGAUCGAGACCAUCCUGGCCAACAUGGUGAAACCUCGUCUCUACUAAAAAUACAAAAAUUAGCUGAGUGUGGUGGCACAUGCUUGUAAUCCCAGCUACUUGAGAGGCUGAGGCAGGAGAAUCGCUUGAACCAGGGAGUCAGAGGUUGUGGUGAGCCGAGAUCGCGCCAUUGCACUCCAACCUGGCGACAGAGCUCUGUCUCAAAAAAAAAAAAAAAAAAAAAAAGAAAGAAAGAAAGAAAAGAAAAGGAAGAAAGAAAAAGAACCUUUUGCCAUAAGAGAUUUGAAAUUAAAAAAAAAAAAAGAUUCUGCACAUCAAAGCGUGAUAGAAAUAGAAGUAACCCAGUUAGUUCAACUCUCCCUCCAGCCUAUCAGGAGAGCAGAGGAGGAAACUGGUUUAUUCAACACAUUUCACAAAUAUUGAGCUCCAUGCACCAGGCACUGGGCUGGGCAUUGAUAUAUAAUGAUGAGUAGGACCUGGUCUUUGCCCUCACAAUGCUUGCAGGGUAAUGAAAUGGAUUCUCCUUCUCUCUGUAAUCAGUUCAUUCUUUUUCUCAUCCAUUCAGUGUUACGUGGCUGCAUGACCAUACACUUCUGGGUAGAGCCCAGUGGAAGACAAAGAAGACUCAAGGAAUAGCCCUUGAGGGCUCAGGAGCUAUACAGAUGGGAUAGAGGGUGUGAGUGCUGGGAAGCCCCAUCCAUGGCUCGCUGGAGAUUAGAGGCCUGUUAAUCUGAAGACAAAGGAAUGAAGACGAAAACGUUUCUGAAAAUGUGGGUGGAGACACCUGGGCCUUUACAGGGUACGCUCCAGAGCUGCUUCCAGGCAGGGACCCCGGCUGAGAGAAGCCAGAGCCAGAGAGUCGCAGGCUUGCUUGCUCUUAUCUUCCCUCUGCUGGGGGGGUCGAGGGGAGAUCUGGCCCCUCUGCUCUGCCCUCCUGAUUUCCCGUCUAAGGGAUUUAGGAGACUUUUGCCUUUUCCUAAUCUCUCCCUUUGCAGAAUUUCUGCGAAGUCACAAUCCCAUUUCCAGGCAAAGGUGCUUGGUCAUAAAGAUAAU
rnacentral:lncRNA from 1 species